GGAGAGGUGGCUGAGUGGUUUAAAGCGCGACUCUCGAAAAGUCGUAAGGCAGCAAUGUCUUCGCGAGUUCAAAUCUCGCCCUCUCCGCCA
rnacentral:tRNA from 1 species